GGCUGAAAUGCAGUACGAGUUUCUUAAGAAAUUCUAUCCCAUAGGUCGAACCAACACAAUGAGGCGACCCAUCACUGGAUUUUCUUAGCUUCCAGGAGAACAAAUUCAUGAAUCAUGGGAGAGACUACACAUGGUCUAUCUAAGUGAUAAAUUGUUCAAGCUUUUUAUGAGGGUUUAGGUGACCAAUACAGACAGAUGGUAGAUGCAUCUUGUGGGGGUGCAUUCAUGAGUA
rnacentral:lncRNA from 1 species